GUGUCUUUAUGGGAGGGAACUAUGUGAACCCAUGGAUGCUAGGAAGCAAGUGUCACUGAGGUCCAGCUUAGAGGCUGGAUGCUAUAUGUGGAUAGGUAAAAGUCAAGGAGUGGUGCAAAAAGAAAUAGCCAAUACAGAUCUGACCAUGGUGGCUUUCAGCUAAGGUGGAAGGAUCCAUAUGCACUCUAAGCUGAAUUGCUGUUUGUAGCAUUAAGAAAACAAGGCAUUCUUAGGAUUCUUUUGGAAAUGAAAGUAAAUAUGUAUACAAAUUUGUUGAAUGCUUAUUUAACAAAUAUCCAUAGUGUAACUUUGUGCUAGAUAAGGAGCAAGGCAAAUUUACUCAAUGUCCACAAUACUAUUUGCACUUUUAUUUUACAUUGCAUUAUAAUUUACCCUUUACAGAUGAAGAAGCAUAAGAGAGAUUAAGUGACCAGUCAGCUACUGAACCCAGCAGUGAUGGAGCAGAGCUUUGUCACUGUUUUUUUCUAAUCUGUGCAGUUUCCCACCAAAGACUUCAGAAAGGCCCAGGAGAAAUGAAGACCGAAGGCCUGGAAGCUCCAGGGAGGGCACUGGAGAAUACGCGCUGAGAGACUGAGAAGCUGGGACCCACUGUCCACAGGUGACAGCCGCACAGCUGUGGCAGUAAACGGUGCAGUGCUCAUGCAGAACUGAGCUUUCUGACGCAGGCCGACUCCUCUCUUGUGCCCACAUCAUGUCCUGGUGUCAAGCCUCCUGGAGGACGCCACCCACGAAAUUGCUGGAAAUGUUUUGAACCAAUGAGGACAUUGAGAUGGCCCCAAAAAGGAACAAGAAAGGAGACUUCCAGAGCUGCUUCAGAGUGGCAAGAGCAAUGGGGAUAUUCUAAAAAUGAAAAAUACCAAGAUUCCAGAAACAGUGGCAGAGAGGCCACAAUGAAUGGAGCAGAAAGAGAAAUGAAGAAGACAAACUGACAACUAAUGACAGAAAAAGAGCUCAACAGAAAUGAGGCAGAGAAGGUUGGAUGGUAGGAACAGCCAUUUUGGAGAAAACAAGACAUCAUAGUAGGUAGUGCUGAUUUAAUAUCCUCUUGUUUUGAAGUCCCAUCAAGCUUUUGUUCUUCUGUCUCCAUCGGUUUUAAUGUG